AGUGAACGCUGGCGGCGUGCUUAACACAUGCAAGUCGAACGAGAACGGAUUAUAGCUUGCUAUAAUUGUCAGCUAAGUGGCGCACGGGUGAGUAAUGUAUAGGUAAUAUGCCUCUUACUAAGGGAUAACAAAUGGAAACGUUUGCUAAUACCUUAUACUCCUUAUUAACAUAAGUUAAUAAGGGAAAGAUUUAUUGGUAAGAGAUUAGCCUGUAUUGUAUCAGUUAGUUGGUGGGGUAAUGGCUUACCAAGACUAUGACACAUAACUGGUUUGAGAGGAUGAGCAGUCGCACUGGAACUGAGACACGGUCCAGACUCCUACGGGAGGCAGCAGUGGGGAAUAUUGCACAAUGGACGAAAGUCUGAUGCAGCAACGCCGCGUGGAGGAUGACACAUUUCGGUGCGUAAACUCCUUUUAUAUGAGAAGAUAAUGACGGUAUUAUAUGAAUAAGCACCGGCUAACUCCGUGCCAGCAGCCGCUGUAA
rnacentral:rRNA from 1 species